UACAGAGGGGGCAAGCGUUGUCCGGAAUUAUUGGGCGUAAAGAGCUCGUAGGCGGCUCGGUAAGUCAGGUGUCAAAUCCUCAGGCUCAACCUGGGGCUCCACCUGAUACUGCUGUGGCUAGAGUCCGGUAGGGGAGCGUGGAAUUCCUGGUGUAGCGGUGAAAUGCGCAGAUAUCAGGAGGAACACCAGCGGCGAAGGCGGCGCUCUGGGCCGGAACUGACGCUGAGGAGCGAAAGCGUGGGUAGCAAACAGG
rnacentral:rRNA from 1 species